UAAAUCAUUUAUAAUAUAAAACACGGUGACAAACUUGUAAAUAAGUUUAAGACAUAUUAUAAAGUAGUUUUGUAAAUCAGUUAUAAUAUGAAACGCGGUAGCAAACUUGUAAAUAAGUUCAUAACCUAUUAUAACGGAGUUUUAAAAAUUAGUUAUAAUAUCUCAACUUUCUAAUAUUUCACAAUUCCCUAAUUUCAUUUCAACAUUGCCCUCGUCUCAUUCCUCUCCUGCUCUUCGUGUCUAAAGCUCCGACACUCCGCUAUUUGUGUCUAAAGCACGAUCAGCACCAUCAACACCACGCAUCUCUAAUUUCUCGACCCUCCUCCCUUCGAACACUCUAAGAACACUCUUCCGCGCGACUAUGGUUGUGGUUUAGGCUAUAGAGAGAAGGAAAGCUAGGUUAGGGGAAGGCGAAGGCUAGCAAACUUAAAGCACUGUUUCUACAUAGACUGCUUCUGCCUCCGCUGUUUGUCGAGAUCUGUGAAGUCUGACGAAGUAGGUUUUAUGAUUCAUAGUUCUACUAUUUCUUUUUUCCUAAUUUGUUAUGAUUUUCUUCUAUUAAUUGUUUGUUAUUUUUCUUCUCAAUUUUUUGUCACUGUUUUACUGUGAAAAGUAAUGUUAUCAUUUGUUGCUUUUUUAGAAUAUUUCAUUCGAACUAACGUUCUUAGUCCUUGGUUUUGGUCUUAUGGGAUACGAUUGCCCAAAUCUUGUUGUUGUUGUCAUUAUCAAAGGGAAAGGGCAGAAGAUUGUUCUUAUGACAUAUUGCAAUCGGGGUGUCGCAAUCGCUCAUUUUUGUUGUUGCCAGGUCACACCUGCACUAUUUUAGUGUAAGUGAAGUUAUUUUGAGUUAUAUUCAGCCCCUGCC
rnacentral:lncRNA from 1 species